AUUGUAGUUUAUUUUUAUUUUUUUUCCAUUUGCUUAGCUUUAUGUUCUCAAUUUUCUACAGUCUUCUACUUUGUAAGAGACCGAAUCCAGUCUUGUCUGUUUGCCUGUAGAGUCUGUUGGUUUUGUAUUGCAACACAGAAUGGCAAGUUGAGUUAGGACUCUGCCUGAACAGGCCUGCCCACAGACCAGCCAGUUGGUUCUAGAAUCUGAAGACGACUCAGGCAAGAGAUAGAGCUUUCCUGGUUCUCAGGAGUCAUUUAAGCCAGAUACAGAAGCAAGCAGGAGCCAGAGAAAGUCUAGAGAGCUCCUAGAUAAUCAAAAAGGCUAAAAAAAAGUUGUAUCCUGAGUUGGGUGCAGAUAGAACUGAAGUAGUUAGAUAGACCUCUGAAAUCAAAGGGUCUCUGAAUGGAAUGCUAUGUCAUGCCAUUGUUGACAUAGCGUUCCGUCUCCACACUGAUGUUUACAUGUGUAAGCCAUACAUUCUACUGCAUUCAAAGCAUUGACCUGAGAUUAUAUCAAUGACGUAGUAAGAAGGGGCACAGGGGAUAAAGGGGAAAGACUUUUCUGAUGUUAUAGCCCAACAAAAGAACUGCAAAUAAUACAAUCCUCAUGCAGCGCCUCAAGAAGCAUCAAUCAUAUUUCCUUUAAAUGUGAAUGUUAACAAAGGAUUGGUGUCUACCUGUUUCACUGAAGGCAGAAUAUUUGUGAAGCCCCGGGAGAAGCUGUGCAAAACCAGGCUGAAAUUGAAUCCCCUGUGUGAUGGUUUGGAGGUGGGGCCUUUGGAAGAUGAUUAGGUCGUGAGGGUGGAGCCCACAUGAAUGGGAUUAGUGCCCUUGUAAGGGGCUAAAGAGAUCAGAGAUUUCCCCUUCGACUCUGUGGGGACGCAGCGACAAGAUGGCCAUCUCUGAACCAGGAAGCAGGUCCUCACCAGACACUGAAUCAGCCAGCACCUUGAUCUUGGACUUCC
rnacentral:lncRNA from 1 species